rnacentral:rRNA from 1 species
UACGUAGGGGGCAAGCGUUGUCCGGAAUCAUUGGGCGUAAAGCGCGUGUAGGCGGUUCGGUAAGUCGGCUGUGAAAGUCCAGGGCUCAACCCUGGGAUGCCGGUCGAUACUGCCGGACUAGAGUUCGGAAGAGGCGAGUGGAAUUCCCGGUGUAGCGGUGAAAUGCGCAGAUAUCGGGAGGAACACCAAUGGCGAAGGCAGCUCGCUGGGACGUUACUGACGCUGAGACGCGAAAGCGUGGGGAGCAAACGGG